GCCUGGCUGGCUCAUUCAGCACAGCAUGUGACUUUUGAUCUCAGGGUUGUGAGUUCAAGCCCCACAUUGGGCA
rnacentral:tRNA from 1 species